rnacentral:rRNA from 1 species
GAUCAUGGCUCAGGAUGAACGCUAGCUACAGGCUUAACACAUGCAAGUCGAGGGGCAGCAUGGACCCAGCUUUGCUGGGUUUGAUGGCGACCGGCGCACGGGUGAGUAACGCGUAUCCAACCUGCCCUUUACUCCGGGAUAGUCUCCUGAAAGGGAGUUUAAUACCGGAUGUGUUUGUCUUUCCGCAUGGGAGCGACAAAUAAAGAUUAAUUGGUAAAGGAUGGGGAUGCGUCCCAUCAG